rnacentral:rRNA from 1 species
UACGUAGGAGGCAAGCGUUGUCCGGAAUUACUGGGCGUAAAGCGCGUGUAGGUGGUGGGACAAGUCUGCUGUGAAAGCGCCUGGCUUAACCGGGCGAGGUCGGCGGAAACUGUUCGACUCGAGGACGGUAGAGGGGGGUGGAAUUCCCGGUGUAGUGGUGAAAUGCGCAGAUAUCAGGAGGAACACCGGUGGCGAAGGCGGGUCUCUGGGCCGAUAUUGACGCUGAGGAGCGAAAGCGUGGGGAGCGAACAGG